UACAGAGGUCUCAAGCGUUGUUCGGAUUCAUUGGGCGUAAAGGGUGCGUAGGCGGCGCGGUAAGUCGGGUGUGAAAUUUCGAGGCUUAACUUCGAAACUGCAUUCGAUACUGCCGUGCUAGAGGACUGGAGAGGAGACUGGAAUUUACGGUGUAGCGGUGAAAUGCGUAGAUAUCGUAAGGAAGACCAGUGGCGAAGGCGGGUCUCUGGACAGUUCCUGACGCUGAGGCACGAAGGCCAGGGGAGCAAACGGGAUUAGAACCGUACCUC
rnacentral:rRNA from 1 species